GAAAUGCGAUAAGUAGUGUGAAUUGCAGAAUUCAGUGAAUCAUCGAAUCUUUGAACGCACAUUGCGCCCCUCGGUAUUCCGUGGGGCAUGCCUGUUCGAGCGUCAUCUACACCCUCAAGCUCUGCUUGGUGUUGGGCGUCUGUCCCGCCUCCGCGCGCGGACUCGCCCCAAAUGCAUUGGCAGCGGUUCCUUGCCCCCCCCCUCUUUGCGCAGCACAUUGCCAAUUCGAGGCGGCGGCGGCCCGCGUCCAACCAGCUCAACCCCCCCGUCUUUGACCUCGGAUCAGGUAGGGAUACCCGCUGAACUUAAGC
rnacentral:misc_RNA from 1 species